UACGAGGGGGGCAAGCGUUGUUCGGAAUUAUUGGGCGUAAAGGGUGCGUAGGCGGCCUGACAAGCCUGAUGUGAAAUCUAUGGGCUCAACCCAUAGUCUGCAUCGGAAACUGUCGGGCUGGAGUAUGGGAGAGGUGAGUGGAAUUCCUGGUGUAGCGGUGAAAUGCGUAGAUAUCAGGAGGAACACCUGUGGCGAAAGCGGCUCACUGGACCAUAACUGACGCUGAUGCACGAAAGCUAGGGGAGCAAACAGG
rnacentral:rRNA from 1 species